rnacentral:rRNA from 1 species
GUGGGUAACCUGCCUCAUACAGGGGAGUAACAGUUAGAAAUGACUGCUAAUACCGCAUAAGCGCACAGUGCUGCAUGGCACAGUGUGAAAAACUCCGGUGGUAUGAGAUGGACCCGCGUCUGAUUAGCUGGUUGGUGAGGUAACGGCUCACCAAGGCGACGAUCAGUAGCCGGCUUGAGAGAGUGAACGGCCACAUUGGGACUGAGACACGGCCCAAACUCCUACGGGAGGCAGCAUG